GACGAACGCUGGCGGCGUGCUUAACACAUGCAAGUCGAACGAAAAGAGGGAAAGAGCUUGCUCUUUCCGGAAUUGAGUGGCAAACGUGUGAGUAACACGUAAACAACCUGCCUUCAGGAUGGGUACAACAGACGGAAACGACUGCUAAUACCGAAUACGUUCCAAGAGCCGCAUGUCCCAUGGAUUAAAAGGUGGCCUCUACCUGUAAGCUAUCUCCGGAAGUGGGUUUUGCGUCUGAUUAGCUGGUUGGAGGGGUAACGGCCCACCAAGGCGGCGAUCAGUAGCCGGACUGAGAGGAUGAACGGCCAGACUGGAACGGAGACACGGCCCAGAGUGCUACGGGAGGCAGCAGUGGGGAAUCUGCCGCAAUGGGCGAAAGACUGACGGAGAAACGCCGCGUGAGUGAUGACGGACUUCGGGUUGUAAAACUCUGUGAUCCGGGAGGAAAAGGCAGAGUGCGAAGAACAAGCUGCAUUGACGGUACCGGAGAAGCAAGCCACGGCUAACUACGUG
rnacentral:rRNA from 1 species